rnacentral:lncRNA from 1 species
ACUCUGGAUCUGUUAGUUUUGAAAGUAGAUUCUUUGGCAGAUUUGCCAUCAGAACGGAGACUAAUACCUGUGGCAUCAAAUCUGUUUUCUUUGCUACACAGAGUUUGAAAACUGUUUUUAAGGUUUUAAGGGCUUAUAUGAUACUUUUAGGGUUUGUUUCCUUUAGAUAUCUCCCAUUGGAAGCAGGUUGCACAACGGCAUGAAGAAUAUGGAAGCAGAGGCAAAUUUGGGAACAGAAUCCAGUUAAUGACAUCUUGGAGGAACUUAGAAACAGGAAGUGACUCAGGAUUGGGAAGCACCAGAAAAAGAGCUGCUGACAUGACAUGGUGACAAGCAUUCUUUGUCAAUUGACUUUUUCUCCCGCCCCCUGGAUCCUAAGGAAACGGCACAGCAUUUCCUUGCCCUGCCCUUGACGUGCUAUGCCUACUCUAAGCUAGAUAGGGGCUUCUGAAAGAAAAACCUAAGGAAGCCCCCUGCUCAUGCCUGGAGGAAAGAACUGCCGACUUUGUCUUUGCCCUCAGCCAAACCGCCACAAGUAUCUUUGUCUGCCUGGCUCUCCUGGGGCCAUCACAGAGGGCUGGGGAUGCUGACAGCCGUAAACUCCAGGCGAGGCAGAACCAAGCAGCUGUUCAUAAGCGAUUUCAGUGCAUGUCCAGUGACCCGAAUGGGACCCGACCAUGGGGAAAAUGAUACAGAACUAGAUCGCUUUCUUUAAAUUUUAUUUUUAGUUUGUGUACUCCUAUGGAAGUGUAAUUUUAUCUUUGUGCUGGGAACACUGAAAAGCACUGACGGGGA